CGGUAGGGUGCGAGUCGUUAAUCGGAAUUACUGGGCGUAAAGCGUGCGCAGGCGGUUUUUGUAAGCCAGGUGUGAAAUCCCCGGGCUCAACCUGGGAAUGGCAUUUGGGACUGCAAGGCUGGAGUGCGGCAGAGGAGACUGGAAUUCCUGGUGUAGCAGUGAAAUGCGUAGAUAUCAGGAGGAAUACCGAUGGCGAAGGCAGGUCUCUGGGCUGACACUGACGCUCAUGCACGAAAGCGUGGGGAGCAAACAGGAUUAGAUACCCUGGUAGUCCACGCCCUAAACGAUGUCGACUGGUUGUUGGGGGUUUGACACUCUCAGUAACGAAGCUAACGCGUGAAGUCGACCGCCUGGGGAGUACGGCCGCAAGGUUA
rnacentral:rRNA from 1 species